UACGAAGGGGGGCUAGCGUUGCUCGGAAUUACUGGGCGUAAAGCGCACGUAGGCGGCUUCUAAGUCAGGGGUGAAAUCCUGGAGCUCAACUCCAGAACUGCCUUUGAUACUGGAAAGCUUGAGUUCGGGAGAGGUGAGUGGAACUGCGAGUGUAGAGGUGAAAUUCGUAGAUAUUCGCAAGAACACCAGUGGCGAAGGCGGCUCACUGGCCCGGUACUGACGCUGAGGUGCGAAAGCGUGGGGAGCAAACAGG
rnacentral:rRNA from 1 species